GUCCAGUCGUGGCCGACUCUGGGGUUGCGGCACUCAUCUCGCUUUACUGGCCGAGGGAGCCGGCGUACAGCUUCCGGGUCAUGCGGCCAGCAUGACUAAGCCGCUUCUGGCGAACCAGAGCAGCGCACGGAAACGCUGUUUACCUUCCCGCUGGAGCGGUACCUAUUUAUCUACUUGCACUUUGACGUGCUUUCAAACUGCUAGGUUGGCAGGAGCAGGGACCGAGCAACGGGAGCUCACCCCGUCAUUGCGGGGAUUCGAACCACCGAC